AUUGAACGCUGGCGGCAUGCCUUACACAUGCAAGUCGAACGGUAACGCGGGGCAACCUGGCGACGAGUGGCGAACGGGUGAGUAACGCAUCGGAACGUGCCCAGUAGUGGGGGAUAACUGCUCGAAAGAGCAGCUAAUACCGCAUACGACCUGAGGGUGAAAGCGGGGGAUCGCAAGACCUCGCGCUAUUGGAGCGGCCGAUGUCAGAUUAGGUAGUUGGUGGGGUAAAGGCCCACCAAGCCAACGAUCUGUAGCUGGUCUGAGAGGACGACCAGCCACACGGGGACUGAGACACGGCCCAGACUCCUACGGGAGGCAGCAGUGGGGAAUUUUGGACAAUGGACGCAAGUCUGAUCCAGCCAUGCCGCGUGCGGGAAGAAGGCCUUCGGGUUGUAAACCGCUUUUGUCAGGGAAGAAAUGCUCUGGGUUAAUACCUCGGGGUAAUGACGGUACCUGAAGAAUAAGCACCGGCUAACUACGUGCCAGCCGCCGCCGUAAAAC
rnacentral:rRNA from 1 species